UGACCUCGGAUCAGGUAGGGAUACCCGCUGAACUUAAGCAUAUCAAUAAGGC
rnacentral:rRNA from 2 species